UACGUAGGGUGCGAGCGUUGUCCGGAAUUACUGGGCGUAAAGAGCUCGUAGGUGGUUUGUCGCGUUGUUCGUGAAAUCUCACGGCUUAACUGUGAGCGUGCGGGCGAUACGGGCAGACUAGAGUACUGCAGGGGGAGACUGGAAUUCCUGGUGUAGCGGUGGAAUGCGCAGAUAUCAGGAGGAACACCAGUGGCGAAGGCGGGGUCUCUAGUACGGGGAACUGACGCUGAGACGCGAAAGCGUGGGGAGCGAACAGG
rnacentral:rRNA from 1 species